rnacentral:rRNA from 1 species
AGUGAAAGAGAACCUGAAACCCUAUGUUUACAAGCACAGGGAGCACGUUAAGGGUGCGACCUGGUACUUUUUGUAGAACGGACCGGCGAGUUACGUUAUUAUGCGAGGUUAAGGUAUAGAGUACCGGAGCCGAAGCGAAAGCGAGUCUGAACAGGGCGGAUAAGUAUAAUGACGUAGACCCGAAACCGUGUGACCUAUCCAUGGACAGGUUGAAGUGGGAGUAAAAUCUCAUGGAGGACCGAACCACACUGCCGUUGAAAAGGUAGGGGAUGAGCUGUGGAUAGCGGGGAAAUUCCAAACGAACACGGAUAUAGCUGGUUCUCCUCGAAAUAGCUUUAGGGCUAGCCUCGCAGGAGAGUGACGGAGGUAGAGCACUGAAUGGGCUAGGGGGCCACAAAGCUUACCGAACCUUAUCAAACUGCGAAUGCCGUACACUUGCUCUGCGGGAGUCAGACUGUGUGAGAUAAGUCUCACGGUCAAAAGGGAAACAGCCCAGACCAACAGCUAAGGUCCCGAAGUACAGGUUAAGUGGAGAAGGAUGUGCCACUGCGCAGACAACCAGGAUGUUGGCUUAGAAGCAGCCAUACAUUAAAAGAGUGCGUAAUAGCUCACUGGUCGAGUGGUGGUGCGCCGAAGAUGGACGGGGCUCAAACCUGACACCGAAGCUUUGGAUUUAUGGAGACAUAAGUGGUAGAGGAGCGAUGUAUGCGGGAGGAAGGAUGACCGGAAGGACAUUUGGACUGCAUAGAAGAGAGAAUGCCGGUAUAAGUAGCGAGAGUGAGGUGAGAAUCCUCACCGUCGAAAGCCAAAGGAUUCCUGAGGAAGGUUCGUCCCCUCAGGGUAAGUCGGGACCUAAGCCGAGGGCGGUAGAGCCGUAGGCGAUGGACAACUGGCAGAUAUUCCAGUACCGUCUAAUACACGUAUGGAGGAAGCAGUGACACAGGAGGAUAGUCAGAGCGCGUUGAUGGUAGAGCGCGUCCAAGCAGAGAGGCUGGCGUUUAGUAAAGAACGGACGCUGAGAGCUGGUCUGUGAUGGGGAGUGAACUAAGUAACGAAGCUGAUGAAUUCACACUGGCGAGAAAAGCUGCUAACGAGUGUAAGAGACGCCCGUACCGCAAACCGACACAGGUAGGCGAGGAGAGAAUCCUAAGACGAACGAGAGAACCCUUGUUAAGGAACUCGGCAAAAUUACCUCGUAACUUCGGGAGAAGGGGUGCCUGCUGAGAGGCAGGCCGCAGAGAAGAGGCCCAAGCGACUGUUUAACAAAAACACAGGUCUGUGCGAAAUCGAGAGAUGACGUAUACGGGCUGACGCCUGCCCGGUGCUGGAAGGUUAAGGGGAAGAGUUAGGUGCGAACCGAAGCUUAGAACCGAAGCCCCAGUAAACGGCGGCCGUAACUAUAACGGUCCUAAGGUAGCGAAAUUCCUUGUCGGGUAAGUUCCGACCUGCACGAAUGGCGUAACGACUUGGGCGCUGUCUCAACAGGGGACUCGGCGAAAUUGUAGUAUGUGUGAAGAUGCACAUUACCCGCGACUGGACGGAAAGACCCCGUAGAGCUUUACUGUAGCCUGAUAUUGGAUUUUGGUAAUGGAUGUACAGGAUAGGUGGGAGGCAGAGAAAUCAGGGCGUCAGCCUUGGUGGAGCCGCUGUUGGGAUACCACUCUUUCAUUAUUGGAAUUCUAACCCGCGGCCGUGAAGCCGGAGCGGAGACAGUGUCAGGUGGGCAGUUUGACUGGGGCGGUCGCCUCCGAAAGAGUAACGGAGGCGCCCAAAGGUUUCCUCAGAAUGGUUGGGAAUCAUUCAAAGAGUGCAAAGGCAGAAGGGAGCCUGACUGCGAGAGAGACAUUUCGAGCAGAUACGAAAGUAGGGCUUAGUGAUCCGGUGGUAGAGAGUGGAAUUGCCAUCGCUUAACGGAUAAAAGUUACCUCGGGGAUAACAGGCUGAUC